UGGGGAAUCUUCCGCAAUGGACGCAAGUCUGACGGAGCAACGCCGCGUGUAUGAAGAAGGCCUUCGGGUUGUAAAAUACUGUUGUUUGGGAAGAACGGCAGGUGUGAAAAGAUUGCAUCUGAUUGACGGUACCAAACGAGGAAGCCCCGGCUAACUACGUGCCAGCAGCCGCGGUAAUACGUAGGGGGCGAGCGUUGUCCGGAAUUAUUGGGCGUAAAGGGCGCGUAGGCGGCUGUACAAGUCUGAUGUGAAAGUGCGGUGCUAAACGCCGUAAAGCAUUGGAAACUGUAUGGCUUGAGGACAGGAGAGGGAAGUGGAAUUCCACGUGUAGCGGUGAAAUGCGUAGAGAUGUGGAGGAACACCAGUGGCGAAGGCGACUUUCUGGACUGUAACUGACGCUGAGGCGCGAAAGCGUGGGGAGCAAACAGG
rnacentral:rRNA from 2 species